rnacentral:rRNA from 1 species
UACGGGGGGGGCAAACGUUGUUCGGAAUUACUGGGCGUAAAGCGUGCGUAGGCGGUGGUCCAAGUCUGGUGUGAAAUCUCCCGGCUUAACUGGGAGGGUGCGCCGGAAACUGGGCCGCUGGAGUACGGGAGAGGCAAGCGGAAUUCCAGGUGUAGCGGUGAAAUGCGUAGAUAUCUGGAGGAACACCCGUGGUGCAGACGGCUUGCUGGACCGUGACUGACGCUGAGGCACGAAAGCGUGGGUAGCAAACAGG